rnacentral:rRNA from 1 species
AGCAAACGCUGGCGGCAGGCCUAACACAUGCAAGUCGAACGAAGUCUUCGGACUUAGUGGCGGACGGGUGAGUAACACGUGGGAACGUGCCUUUAGGUUCAGAAUAACUCAGGGAAACUUGUGCUAAUACCGAAUGUGCCCUUCGGGGGAAAGAUUUAUCGCCUUUAGAGCGGCCCGCGUCUGAUUAGCUAGUUGGUGGGGUAAUGGCCCACCAAGGCUACGAUCAGUAGCUGGUCUGAGAGGAUGACCGGCCACAUUGGGACUGAGACACGGCCCAAACUCCUACGGGAGGCAGCAGUGGGGAAUCUUGCGCAAUGGGCGAAAGCCUGACGCAGCCAUGCCGCGUAGAUGAUGAAGGUCUUAGGAUUGUAAAAUCCUUUCACCGGUGAAGAUAAUGACUGUAGCCGGAGAAGAAGCCCCGGCUAACUUCGUGCCAGCAGCCGCCGUAACAC